rnacentral:rRNA from 1 species
AGUCAGACCUGCCCAUGAUUUUAAUGGCCGCAGUACUUUAACUGUGCAAAGGUAGCAUAAUAAUUUGUUUUUUAAUUGGAAACUUGUAUGAAUGGUCAUACGAGGGAUUGACUUUCUUUAUCUUAUAUUAAUUAAUUUUAUUUCUCUGUGAAAAAGCAGAGAUGUAUUUAUUAGACGAUAAGACCCUUUAAAACUUUAUUUAUUAUAAAAGCAUGAGUUUUUAGUUGUUUUUUUGUGCUAUUUUUAGUGAAUUUUGUUGGGGCGACUGGUAAAUUUAUUGAACUUUACUUUUUUAUAUCACAAAUUAGUGUUUGUUUGAUCCAGGUUUAUGUUCUGAUUAAAAGCUUAAGUUACUU